rnacentral:rRNA from 1 species
GACGCUGGCGGCGUGCUAAUACAUGCAAGUCGAACGCUUUGUCUUUAAUUGAUAUGAAGAGCUUGCUCUGAUUUGAUUUUAUCUGACAAAGAGUGGCGAACGGGUGAGUAACACGUGGGUAACCUACCUCUUAGCAGGGGAUAACAUUUGGAAACAAGUGCUAAUACCGUAUAACACUAACAACCGCAUGGUUGUUAGUUGAAAGAUGGUUCUGCUAUCACUAAGAGAUGGACCCGCGGUGCAUUAGCUAGUUGGUAAGGUAAUGGCUUACCAAGGCGAUGAUGCGUAGCCGAGUUGAGAGACUGAUCGGCCACAAUGGGACUGAGACACGGCCCAUACUCCUACGGGAGGCAGCAGUAGGGAAUCUUCCACAAUGGGCGCAAGCCUGAUGGAGCAACGCCGCGUGUGUGAUGAAGGGUUUCGGCUCGUAAAACACUGUUAUAAGAGAAGAACGACAUUGAGAGUAACUGUUCAGUGUGUGACGGUAUCUUAUCAGAAAGGAACGGCUAAAUACGUGCCAGCAGCCGCGGUAAUACGUAUGUUCCAAGCGUUAUCCGGAUUUAUUGGGCGUAAAGCGAGCGCAGACGGUUAUUUAAGUCUGAAGUGAAAGCCCUCAGCUCAACUGAGGAAGGGCUUUGGAAACUGGAUAACUUGAGUGCAGUAGAGGAAAGUGGAACUCCAUGUGUAGCGGUGAAAUGCGUAGAUAUAUGGAAGAACACCGGUGGCGAAAGCGGCUUUCUGGACUGUAACUGACGUUGAGGCUCGAAAGUGUGGGUAGCAAACAGGAUUAGAUACCCUGGUAGUCCACACCGUAAACGAUGAGUGCUAGAUGUUCGAGGGUUUCCGCCCUUGAGUGUCGCAGCUAACGCAUUAAGCACUC